GUGAGGUACUCAACCGGGUUUUACUGUAGUAGACAAAGAAUUUGAAAUAAAAUAACAUUGUGAUUGAAAAUUGAGAUGAUAACCAGCCGCGUCUUACUUAGACUGAGGUGUAAAUUAAAUUCAUGUUAUAGUGAAGAUAAUACAGUAAAAUUAUUUUGGCUUUUAAAUAAUUAGUGAUUGAUUGUUCAAAACUUUAAUUAAAAUAUAUACGUGUAGGUAUUAUCACAUUGCUAUAUUAUUAAAUUUGCUAUGCAUUAAAUCGCAGUGUAUGGUAUAUGUAAUUUAAUGAUAAGAGGUGCUUAGGCUCCAGGAUAUAAGUAACUAAAUUUGGUUAUCGAGCUUCCGUUUGCUUCUCAUGUUAUUGACUUAUUUUAUUCAUAAUAGUUAAUCGAUAUACACAAAUUUAUUUCAUAAUUUUUUGUUAUAUAAUGUAGCAAUGGUGGUUUUCCUUGUUUUCGUGGUUCCCAUUUUUUUUACCGGAUUUGUUCCAUGUGAAAUAACGUGGAACAUCACUAUGUAUCAAUGUCUUUGCAAAUUGGCCAAAAAUAUCACAUUUUUUAUAUAAUGUAAAAAAUUCAGUUAGUGUGGUUUUUGGAGCCUCAAGAGCUCUUUGGAGAACAUUUUCUUCUGUGAAGGAUACACGUUGACAAUUUUCAAAGAUAGAGUGCAAGAUGCUGUCGCGUAUGGGAAAGCUAAGAAUAUGCUCAAAUAUGUUAUUGACACAUCGCCAAUAAGGAAGUGGCCAUAAACUAUAACUUAUGGCACGCUUUAAGUAGAAUUAGAUAGCACAUCAUCUAACACCUAUAUUCACAUCUUUUUAAAAACCACCCAACGUUCGCGCUGGAGGAACUGUUCUUUGUGUAUGCGGCGAUUGUUGAGGAGGAGGAAUCGGGGGAUAGGAGGAAAAUUUUGAAGGGUUUACGAGACAAAAGCGAUCCUUUUACUAUGCAAGAGACAACAUUUAUAAAUACUUUCCGAUUCUCAAAAUCGCUAUGUAAAGUACUCAUAGGUGAAUUGGUGCCGCAUGAUGUGCAGAAGUCGAGUAUAUCUUUUGAUCUGCGUUUCCUGGCGUGUUUGUAUUUUUACGGACAUGGCUCUUACCAAAAAUGCGUUGGUAAUAGAUAUAUGCUCUCUAUGAGCCAGUCCUCUGUGUCUAGAGCUGUGCACUUUAUUUCGAAAUUAAUUGUGGAUAUUAAGGGCAGUGAAAUUUAUUUCCCUUCAAGCGCGCAGGAUG